rnacentral:rRNA from 1 species
UACGUAGGCAGCGAGCGUUGUUCGGAGUUACUGGGCGUAAAGGGUGUGUAGGCGGUUUUCUAAGUUUGGUGUGAAAUCUCCCGGCUUAACCGGGAGGGUGCGCCGAAAACUGGGAGACUAGAGUGCGGGAUGGGAGAGUAGAAUUCCUGGUGUAGCGGUGAAAUGCGCAGAUAUCAGGAAGAACACCCGUGGCGAAGGCGGUUCUCUGGGACGGUACUGACGCUGAGACGCGAAAGCGUGGGGAGCGAACAGG